rnacentral:rRNA from 1 species
GCUCAGUAACACGUGGAUAACCUACCCUUAGGACUGGGAUAACCCUGGGAAACUGGGGCUAAUACUGGAUAGAUGAUUUUUCCUGUAAUGGUUUUUUGUUUAAAUGUUUUUUCGCCUAAGGAUGGGUCUGCGGCAGAUUAGGUAGUUGGUUAGGUAAUGGCUUACCAAGCCUAUGAUCUGUACGGGUUGUGAGAGCAAGAGCCCGGAGAUGGAACCUGAGACAAGGCUCCAGGCCCUACGGGGCGCAGCAGGCGCGAAACCUCCGCAAUGUGAGAAAUCGCGACGGGGGGAUCCCAAGUGCCAUUCUUAACGGGAUGGCUUUUCUUAAGUGUAAAAAGCUUUUGGAAUAAGAGCUGGGCAAGACCGGUGCCAGCCGCCGCGGUAACACCGGCAGCUCUAGUGGUAGCUGUUUUUAUUGGGCCUAAAGCGUUCGUAGCCGGUUUAAUAAGUCACUGGUGAAAUCCUGUAGCUUAACUGUGGGAAUUGCUGGUGAUACUGUUGAACUUGAGGUCGGGAGAGGUUAGCGGUACUCCCAGGGUAGAGGUGAAAUUCUGUAAUCCUGGGAGGACCACCUGUGGCGAAGGCGGCUAACUGGAACGAACCUGACGGUGAGGGACGAAAGCUAGGGGCGCGAACCGGAUUAGAUACCCGGGUAGUCCUAGCCGUAAACGAUGCGGACUUGGUGUUGGGGUGGCUUUGAGCCGUUCCGGUGCCGAAGGGAAGCUGUUAAGUCCGCCGCCUGGGAAGUACGGUCG